rnacentral:rRNA from 1 species
UACAGAGGGUGCGAGCGUUAAUCGGAAUUACUGGGCGUAAAGCGCGCGUAGGCGGCUUUGCAAGUCGGGUGUGAAAUCCCCAGGCUUAACCUGGGAACUGCAUCUGUGACUGCAUCGCUGGAGUGCGGCAGAGGGGGAUGGAAUUCCGCGUGUAGCAGUGAAAUGCGUAGAUAUGCGGAGGAACACCGAUGGCGAAGGCAAUCCCCUGGGCCUGCACUGACGCUCAUGCACGAAAGCGUGGGGAGCAAACAGG